CGGCCAAUGAGUGUCUGGAGCUGUGAUUAACCAGGCAGCAACACAUCAUUUCCUCCCGGCGCGGAUCCAGGGAGCCGGGAGGGAGAGGGAAGGCGGCGGGGCGGGGCCGUCCCCGCGCCCCCUGCAGGCGCCCGGCCGGGGGCGAGCCCGCCGAGCCCCGACGAGCCUGGCCAGGCCGCCCCCGACGCGCCCGGCGCGGUCUGGCGGGCCCGGAGGAGCUGCGAGCGCGCAGCCCGCGGGGCUUCUCAGAGGCGGGGCGGCGGCGGGGCAGGCCCGAGCCGGGCUCCCGCGGCUGGGGUGGGAGGAGGAGAGGCCGCGCGGCGCGGGUGAGUGCCCAGGUUCAUUCAUGCCGCAGACAUUUUAUUGGGUCACUGCAGUACUGCAAAAGGUUGCAAAGGAAAUGGAAGAUCUGGUCCCUGCAGGUCAGAAGUUUACAAUCUAAUUAGGAACGUAAGACACAUAUACAUGAAACAGCUAGAAAAUCAUCCCCAGGUGUGAUGUAAGCAAGAGGACCGAGAAGGCUGGUGGCAUUUUUUCGUGAGGGGAAAGCCUCUGUACCUGUGUGCUUGCUUGGUGAGAAUCAGGAGAAGAAAUUCCAGGUCGUUCAAGCCAGAGGGCCUAUGUGUAUCCUUACUCUGUAAAACAGUAGAACAGGGACAUGAGUGUCACUUGGCUGAAGCUCUGCCACUUAUAAACUGUGUGACCUUAGGCAUGCUUUUAACUUCUCUGAAGGCAGUAAAGCCUGUCUCCAGGUUUGUUGUAUGGUUCAAGUGAGUUUACACUUACAUGACAGGUGUUGGGCUGUGUGAUUGUUCCCCAGUCGGGUCCAUUUAUGGAGUCCUCAUUUUACUGGCCUCUUCUUGAUGAUCUUUCUAGUCUUCCCUAGGCUGUAAGCUCCAUGAGGGCAGGGACCGGGUUUCACUGUAUACCCACGUCAUGCCUAGCAGUGUGGCACAUGCCGGUGCCUGAUAAAGGUUUGCUGAAUAUGAAUAAAUGAACUAAUGUUUCCUGUUAGGCUUCUAACUGUUCAUUGUACGUGUUCCUGCAGUAGUAGUCUCAUAUGACUGGCUAAUGCAAAACCCUCUAACUCAACCUUCCUGGGACUAACUUGUAUUCCAGGAGACUCUGGGAGGAUUCUAGGUAGUUCUUAUGGCCUUGUAUUAUAAAUUGAUGAUUAUUCAUGCAUGGGUGUAUGUGUAAGGCAGGAGGAUCCACAAGGAUACAGCCUGUCACACAAGCCCUGUCCAUACAAGGAUAAAGCCCAGAUACAGUCCUUUGGCUUGGACACCUUAAUUCAGGGUUGUUCAACCUCCACACUAUUGACAUCUUUGGCUGGAUAAUUUCUGUGAGGUGUGUCCUGUGCACUGUAAGAUGUUUUGCAGCAUCCUUCCUUGACCUCUAUCCAUUAGAUGCAAAUAGGAUGCCUUCUCUCCACAGUUGUGAUGGUUAAAAAUGUCUCCAGACAUGGUUGAAUGUCCCGGUUGGGGGGGGGGGGGUGGCAAAAUUGUCCACUAUUGAGAACCCGUGCCUUAACCCAACAUCUCAUCCACUGAUUUAACUAUGGUGGAGAAAUCACACAAGUAAAGUAACUUGAAAGAAAUACAUCUUCUGUUAUUCCAAGAUUCUUAGAUCUUUUCCAUCAUAUGUUUCCAGGAGCACGACUCUUGUUAAUUAAUUGCCUGCUGCAUUGUGAAUUGGCAUCUCUUCUGUUUUCUGCCUAUCCUCCUCCUUUACACCAGAUCAACAUGUUCAUUUCUAGAAGUCAACAGCUUUCAACAACUAUUAGGAAAUAGAGUCUUGAGCAACCUAAGAGUCCUGUAUAAUAUUCUUCUAUAAAAUAUGGAGAAUUCAUUCCAUAAAAUUUUGCAGAAAGCUUCCCUCUCAUAAUUAAGCCCUUACUUUCCACCACCUCUCUGCACUCAGAUUGUAAGUAAUACAGAAUAUAAAUUGUACUUUUUAGAAAUUACUGCAUUUAAAAUAUUUAAGGAGCUACUUUGAGUGAUUUUCUUUCAUCUUGAAGCCAUUCCUUUUUGGUUCAAGAAAGAGUUUCCCUUUCCUAGUGGCAUAGAGAACAUGGCUUAUUAAAACCUAUAAAGCAAAAAUCAGCUUAGUUAUACAUACCAAAUUCCAGAAGCAAGUUCUUUAGAAGAAUAGCAGGAUGUAUUAGAGCUGGUGGUCUUGAUGAAAAUCCUGAUGGAUUGAUGUGCUUUGGUUCAAUUACUAAAGAUUUCUUGAAGAAAAAUAAAGAUUAACUGUUGAAGGAAUGAACUAAUUCUGAUAAGUCUGUUCACUCAGUCUGGGCAUGUAAACCAACCCAAAACUCUGCUCCCAGCAGGCAAUAGCUCUAUGUUUACAAGGUGAGCAGACAUUUUUGUUCAGCAACACUGUCAUCUGUCUCUUUAAAUAAAGUUAUUUGAAACAUUG